rnacentral:lncRNA from 1 species
CUCCAUCGCGUGGUGCAAAUCUUCAACGGUUUUCGGUGGAGGGAGGAAGGGAGGAAGAAAAGGGGGAGAACCCAAGGUGGUGGACUUCCGGAUCGUACUUAGGGAUUUGCCCGAACUUCCGGUAAAGGCAAGUAAAUAUAGUGGUGGUUGCUACCGUUUGGUUUGCAUCCUAUUCCCUGUCAUUGAGUAUGCAAAAGUUUUAAUUAUGUUAAUCAUUGAAUUAUAUGAUGAAGUUUAUUUGUUUGGAAGUAUUAAUUCUCAAUUGUCUAAUAUUGUGGAUGAUCAUAAUUUGGUAAUGAUAUAUGUGGUUGAUUCCCAUCUUGGAUGAAGUUGAAGUAUCUUUUUGAAUCAUGUUAUAUGAAGUGUUGUAGGCAUGACAUGCACAUCGCAUCAUCCAUCUUGCAUUUUGAAGUUAUGUCGUGAUCUUAUGGUCCGACUGUACCGGUACAUUUUUAGCAUCGUACGUUGCCCGAGGAGGGGUACGAUGCGGCUUCAUAUCCUUAGAGGUAUGAAGGCAGAAGUCAUCCUUGCAUUUGCAGACAUUUGCACUCAUGAGGUAUAUAUGAAGUGUGACAUUACUAUGUUACUAUUGUGGUUUCUACCCAAGAGGUGUGGACUAGGUGUGUUGUACGUUGUAUACGUGUUGCACCUUCGUAAUAAGAAAGUUGUGGAAUCAAGUGGUGGUAAAACAAUGUUCUUAUGUGGUUAAACAGUUUGAUAUUAUUUUACUUGCUGAGAUGUGUCAUCUCACUCUUGCAUUACUCAAUGCAGGUACUUGAUACAUGUUGGGAAUGAGGGGAGUAGCAGCACGUCCACUUUCACUCUCACAAUAACGCUGCCCAGGCGCAGCCAUGAUUUAAUUAGAAAUUUAUUGUCAAAGGAAGUUUGUUUUUUUAACUAGUCGUGCGCACUAGUUAAUUCAGUUCAUGUCGUAUGCUUAACUUCUCUUUACUAGCCGAU